rnacentral:rRNA from 1 species
GAUUCAUCGUCAGCGAUUCUGGUACGUGAGCGGUUCGCGAUGUCGCGGGACCCCGGUUCAGUGACACGCGUCCGCGCAUGUAUAAAUUGCCAGGUGUCGUCGGCGUGCACUUCUCCCCUAGUAGAACGUCGCGACCCGUUGGGUGUCGGUCUACGGCCCGGAUGGUAGACUGUCGUGCGUCGCGCCUUGUGCCGACAUGCGGCAGACCACCGGUCGCCUGACCGGCUGCCCGGCGGUACUCGCACGGUAUCGAGCCGCAAAUAUUUGAACUGCGUCCGGCCCGCCGCAAGCGAGGUCAGUGUUUCCCGGAUGUGCGGACCUAGCGCCGCCAUCGGGCCUGACCAGCUGUUGGUUGGCGGUGUCCUGAGACUGGCUAAAUAAUAAAUUAUGAUACCGGUCGGCGACGCUACUGCUUUGGGUACUUUCAGGACCCGUCUUGAAACACGGACCAAGGAGUCUAACAUGUGCGCGAGUCAUUGGGAGCUGUGAAGCCUAAAGGCGCAAUGAAAGUGAAGGUCGGCCUUGCGCCGACCGAGGGAGGAUGGGCCACGUCACGAUGUGGUCCCGCACUCCCGGGGCGUCUCGUUCUCAUUGCGAGAAGAGGCGCACCCAGAAGCGUACACGUUGG